UACAGAGGGGGCAAGCGUUGUUCGGAAUUACUGGGCGUAAAGGGCGCGUAGGCGGCCUGCUAAGUCGAACGUGAAAUCCCUGGGCUCAACCCAGGAACUGCGUCCGAUACUGGUUGGCUUGAAUCCGGGAGAGGGACGUGGAAUUCCAGGUGUAGCGGUGAAAUGCGUAGAUAUCUGGAGGAACACCGGUGGCGAAGGCGGCAUCCUGGACCAUUACUGACGCUGAAUCGCGAAAGCUAGGGGAGCAAACGGG
rnacentral:rRNA from 1 species